rnacentral:rRNA from 1 species
UACGAAGGGGGCUAGCGUUGCUCGGAAUUACUGGGCGUAAAGGGCGCGUAGGCGGACAGCUUAGUCAGAGGUGAAAGCCCAGGGCUCAACCUUGGAACUGCCUUUGAUACUGGCUAUCUUGAGUUCGGGAGAGGUGAGUGGAAUGCCGAGUGUAGAGGUGAAAUUCGUAGAUAUUCGGCGGAACACCAGUGGCGAAGGCGACUCACUGGCCCGAUACUGACGCUGAGGAGCGAAAGCGUGGGGAGCGAACGAGGA